rnacentral:rRNA from 1 species
CAGCAGCCGCGGUAAUACGUAGGGUGCAAGCGUUAAUCGGAAUUACUGGGCGUAAAGCGUGCGCAGGCGGCUUUUUAAGUCGGAUGUGAAAUCCCUGAGCUUAACUUAGGAAUUGCAUUCGAUACUGGGAAGCUAGAGUAUGGGAGAGGAUGGUAGAAUUCCAGGUGUAGCGGUGAAAUGCGUAGAGAUCUGGAGGAAUACCGAUGGCGAAGGCAGCCAUCUGGCCUAAUACUGACGCUGAGGUACGAAAGCAUGGGGAGCAAACAGGAUUAGAUACCCCAGUAGUCCCUGUCUCUUAUAC